ACUCUAGCUUGAUACUGGGGUUCGGUAUUGCAUGUACAGGAUAGGUGGGAGACGAAGAGGCAGUGACGCCAGUUGCUGCGGAGUCGAUGUUGGGAUACCACCCCUGCAGUACUGGGCUUCUAACCUGCAGCCGUGACCCGGCUGGGGGACAAUGUCUGGUGGGGAGUUUGACUGGGGCGGUCGCCUCCGAAAGAGUAUCGGAGGCGCUCAAAGGUUCCCUCAGAAUGGUUGGAAACCAUUCGAAGAGCGCAAAGGCAGAAGGGAGCUUGACUGCGACACCGACGGGUGGAGCAGGUACGAAAGUAGGACUUAGUGAUCCGGUGGUAUGAAAGUGGGAUUGCCAUCGCUCAACGGAUAAAAGCUACCCUGGGGAUAACAGGCUUAUCACUCCCAAGAGUUCACAUCGACGGAGUGGUUUGGCACCUCGAUGUCGGCUCAUCGCAUCCUGGGGCUGUAGUAGGUCCCAAGGGUUGGGCUGUUCGCCCAUUAAAGCGGUACGCGAGCUGGGUUCAGAACGUCGUGAGACAGUUCGGUCCCUAUCCGGCGUGGGCGUAGGAUAUCUGAGAGGAGCUGUCCUUAGUACGAGAGGACCGGGAUGGACUGACCUCUGGUGCACCGGUUGCAUUGCCAAAUGCAUAGCCGGGUAGCCAAGUCGGGACGGGAUAAACGCUGAAGGCAUCUAAGCGUGAAGCCCCCCUCAAGAUGAGAUAUCCCAUAACGUAAGUUAGUAAGACCCCUUGAAGACGACGAGGUAGAUAGGCAGAAGGUGGAAGUGUGGUGACAUAUGGAGCUGAUCUGUACUAAUAGGUCGAGGGCUUAACCAAG
rnacentral:rRNA from 1 species